AUAGAAUAAAUUAAAGCUCUAACAUUUACAUAAAUUAUGGGACAUAUAGAUUUGUCAUUACGGUAAACAUCACAAAUAAUUAAAACGUCACUUCACAGUAAAUUAACAUGCCUAAAAUUAUUUCAUGAAAUAUAGCCACUAGACAUGAACAUUUAUGAUGCAGAGUUUAGAAAAAUAGUUUAUAUAUUAAAGAAAAGUAAUAUCAUAAUAGAAAAUGGAAUAAAGGAAGAAAUAAAACAAGGUAGCAGUAUGCAAACAUGUGAUAGAUAUAAUGAAUGUGGUGUAGUAAAGAAAGUGUAGUACUAUAAUAACAAAAAAAAUAAAAAUAAUAAGAGAUACA
rnacentral:lncRNA from 1 species